rnacentral:lncRNA from 1 species
AACCAUAAAGGUACAACAUAUUCCGUAAUAGGAAUAUUGUAGUAGGAAAAGACUUCUUUAAUUUGAAAUGUGUUAAAGUCAACCAAAUGUUUGAUCGCCGCAGCUACAGUUCAUUGUCUCUUUCAGCAGUAGGUCUGUUUUCUUCUGUUAAAACACUGUGUUACAGCAGAGAAGGUUUAUUGUGCAGAUGGGAACAAACCACAUUGCGAGUUGAUGGCGUGGGGGCUGUGAGGUGACUUGAUUAAGGACAAAUCAAGUGGAAGUUGAUAUGUAGACGAUGGCAGAGAAGGUGGGGGUGUCAGUACAAGCAGCAUGGAUCCAUGUUGUGAUUAUUUGUUCAUGUCUGGAUAUGGAUCCAAGUAUGUGUUUGUUUGUGUGUCUGUGCGGGUGUGUGUUCUUAUCUCCCAUGGUCCACACGACAGGGGCAUCAGAGGAAGUGUGGCCUUUCCUUCCUGUGCCUUUCACACUGUCACAACACACACCAUCCAUAAAACUCCAUGGCUCCAUCCACCACAGAGACACAAAGGGAGCAGGAGAGAGAUGGGACAGAUAUGUGAAGUUGUUUUCUACUGGGAGAAAGGAGGACAGGCCUCUGGAAGCAACUGACUUGAUCAGUGGAUAGAAACGGCCCUCCAGAAAUGGCAGGAAUCGGAGAAUUAAAUCUUUCAAGUGGGGUGGUAUGUGCAACAGGAAAACAAGAAAACACCUAUCUUACUUAAUUUCUAGCAUCCUCUUUGUGCUCACAGCCAUUUUCACAAUUUUUCUGAUAAAUUUUGUCCAGCUUCCUGUCCGCAUGAUCAACAGAAUCACAAAUAAAUAGAAAAUAAAAUAAUAAUAAUAAUAAUAGAUACAUAAACCUUUUAUCUAUGCUGUUUCAUGGAGGUUAACUUCCUUUUGUAAACGUUUGGUACCACUUUAAUCACAGGCCUUAUUGCAAAUACUUAAUGCUGCAAAUGUGACACUUUUCAUUACUUAAAGCAGCAGCUGAAAUUGAAGUUUAACUUGAUGAGCGUACUUUUUAUCACUCUUAGAGAUACUUUAGAAAUAACAGAAUUUGUUACCAAGUCUGAGUCCAACAGCUAACUAAGUAUUUUUAUGCCUAAUCACAGAUAAAAAUUAACUUGUUCUAAUAAUGGAAAACAAACAAACAAAACAAAAAAGCAGAUCCCUUCCAAACUAUACUACUUUUCAGCUGAACAAAAGAAAAUCCUUCUUAUUGUAAUAAGAAAGAAAUGUUAUUGGCUUUCGGUGUAAUACACAGUUGGGGUGGUUCUGAAAUUGAAUAGGAACUCUGCCAGCCCAGAUAUCCGUUUUCCUCCCAGACAUAAACAGUAAAAGUUUUUACUUUUUUUGAUUAUUCAGUGGUAUUGAUGUAGCAGGAUGUCUUCCAAAAAUAUUUUUACACCACAGACCCAGAAAAAUGAAAGAUUAAACAUUACAGCAUACAAAUAGUGUCACUUCUUCAUCAAUUAUCAGAAAAGUAUUAAAAGAAAUCCUGUUACAGUUGAAUCUGUGCUAAUGUUAACUUCAGUUUGAAGGUCAAGUUAGACAACGUUUCUUACAUAGUCGUCUUUUAACCAAAUACUGUUUAUGAUGCGUUUUCAAGUAAUGACCAGAUUAAGAUAGGUGAAGUUCUGCUCUGCUUUAUUGCUCUAAAAUGCAAGUGACCUGUGAGUGCGUCAUCCAAGUACCGGUAGUCCAAGUACUACAGUGACAGAAGUCACUUUUUCAAUACAUGGCAGGAAGAUGAGAGUCUGUGUUAAAAAAAGCAAUUUUGUACCGAAUCACGUGCAGCAU